GUGGUUGCUUCGGUAGCACAUAUACUAAAAUUGGAACAAUACAGAGAAGCUCAGCAUGCCCCCCUCCCCUCCCCCCGCACAAGGAUGACAUGCAAAUUAGUGAAGUGUUCCAUAUUUUU
ensembl:snRNA U6 U6 spliceosomal RNA